rnacentral:rRNA from 1 species
UACCAGCACCCCGAGUGGUCGGGACGAUUAUUGGGCCUAAAGCAUCCGUAGCCGGUCCUGCAAGUCUUCCGUUAAAUCCAGCUGCUCAACAGAUGGGCUGCGGGGGAUACUACAGGGCUAGGAGGCGGGAGAGGCAAGCGGUACUUUAUGGGUAGGGUAAAUCCGUUGAUCCAUAGAAGACCACCAGUGGCGAAGGCGGCUUGCCAGAACGCGCUCGACGGUGAGGGAUGAAAGCUGGGGGAGCAAACCGG